ACACCAGUGAAAAUGCCCUAACAGCAUAAAUGGAGCAGGUAUCAGGCACGAAAGUUCAGCCCAAGACACCAAGCCAUGCCACACCCACACGGGCCCUCAGCAGUGAUAAACAUUAAGCAAUAAGCGAACACACCCCCAAGCUUGACUUAGUUAUGAUUAAACAGGGCCGGUAAACCUCGUGCCAGCCACCGCGGUUAUACGAAGGGCCCAAAGCAGCAGAUCCUCGGCGUAAAUCGUGAUUAGAGCCCUACCAAAAAACUAAAAGCUAAACAACAGCCUAACCGUAAAACACAGGCUAAAUGAAACCACUACGCUUUUAAUAAAAGGCAGUUUGAACCACGAAAAUUAAGAAACAAACUAGGAUUAGAUACCCUACUAUGCUUAAUCGUUAAUAUGACACCUCAAUACACAAGAUGUCCGCCAGAAAAUUACGAGCGAAAAGCUUAAAACUCAAAGGACUUGGCGGUGCCCCACACCCGACUUAGAGGAGCCUGUCCUAUAAUCGAUACUCCACGCUAAACCUCACCAUUCAUUGCCUAGACAGCCUAUAUACCGCCGUCGCCAACUUACCCUCUGAAGGUAAAACAGUAAGUACAAUAGUCUAUUAACUAAAACGUCAGGUCAAGGUGUAGCUUAUAGAAUGGAAGAGAUGGGCUACAUUUUUUAUAACAAAACAUACGGCAUGGAACUGUGAAACCAGUUCUUAAAGGAGGAUUUAAUAGUAAAACUAAUAAGAAAAUUAAUUUUAAACACGC
rnacentral:rRNA from 1 species